AAAAUCUCUUUAAUGAAAUUUUCGUUAUUACGAUUUUACCCCUGCUGAAUGAAAAUAAUUCCAGACCCAAAAAAUUUUUGCUCUUCGCGGUCCUGUUCCUCUCCUCUUCCUCUACGAUCUCCCCCGCCGCUUCAACGUCGGCAUGCUCAACCGCUGGAGCUCCGGCCAGACGCCGGUCACCGCCCAAACGUGGCCGCAGAACUCCGGCCUUAAGUUUUGGUCUUUGCUAAUCCAGAUUUCACUCUCUUCAGGUUCAGUCAAUCCUUCGUUUGCCGAGUUUCGCAUAAUCAAGCAGACGAUCGGAGCUUCUAAACUGAACUUCCAUAGCCUAGCACCUCACGACGACGCCAAUUUUAUCGUUGGAGCUAGAAGCAUCUAUGCAUCAGGGGCAAGAGCAGCAAAUGCCUUCAUUUAAUCUCCCAUCUAAAAUUCUUUGUGAAGUUUUUAAUGUUCAGCUUCGGUUUUACUUUUAACUUGGAGUGCUGGCUGAAAUGGAAACAGAUGAAGUUUACGCACAAAUUACUCUAUUACCAGAACAAGAUCAAAGCGAGGUUACUAGCCCUGAUCCUCCACUUCCAGAACCUUCAAAAUGCACUGUGCAUUCAUUUUGCAAGACACUGGCUGCUUCUGAUACAAGCACCCAUGGCGGAUUCUCUGUCCUCAGGAGGCAUGCGGAUGAUUGUCUGCCACCACCGGGCAACCUAGACGUCACUUACUCACAACUGGCUGAAGUGUUUUUGUCAGUUCCAAAAAAUUAGUAGCUGGUGAUGCAUUUAAAUUUUUUAGGCAAGUUCUUUUUGCUCAAGACAAGCUCUCGUGCGCAAGACAUGGAUAAUUGUUAUUAUGUUAGAUGCUUUCUGUUGUGUUUACUUACUACUUAUCGUUUCCAGAGGUGAAAACAGAGU